UGUCUAAGUACGAGCCGUGUUCACACGGCGAGACCGCGUACGGCUCAUUAAAUCAGUCGUGGUCCAAAUGGGCCAGUGCUUAUCCUACUUGGAUAACUGUGGUAAUUCCAGAGCUAAUAUAUGCAACUCAUACCCCGAAGGCCGCGCUCUUGCAGUGUGCGCUGGACGGGUGCUUUUAUUAGACCAAACCGCUGAGGGUGUGUUAGCCUCCCGGGGCGCACGCUUGACUCGCAUGAUGGUGACUCUGGAUAACCUUUGACAAGCGCACGUACCACUCUUUUGAGCGGACGGCGCUGCCACUUUCGAGUGUCUGCCUUAUCAGCUAUCAACCGUUCGUUACGUGCGACCGAUGGCUUUGACGGGUAACGGGGAAUCAGGGUUCGAUUCCGGAGAGGCAGCCUGAGAGACGGCUACCACGUCCAAGGACGGCAGCAGGCGCGCAAAUUACCCAAUCCCAGCUUCUGGGGGAGGUAGUGACGAAAUCUAACGAUGCGGGCGCCCUUUCUAGGGCCCCGCAAUCGGAAUGAGCACUUUCUAAACAACCUGUUGAGAACCUACUGAAGGGCAAGUCUGGUGCCAGCAGCCGCGGUAAUUCCAGCUUCAGCAGCAUCUAUUAAAGUUGCUGCGGUUAAAAGGCUCGCAGUUGAAUGUCAGUGCCGGGCGCAGGUUAGGUGGACGCUGGGGUGUGAGAACCAACACGGCACGGGCUUCGUCUGGAUGCUUGUC
rnacentral:rRNA from 1 species